CCGACCUUAGCUCAGUUGGUAGAGCGGAGGACUGUAGUGAGAUCACUCAAAGUAAUCCUUAGGUCGCUGGUUCGAAUCCGGCAGGUCGGA
rfam:Gossypium arboreum cultivar AKA8401 contig_39631_1, whole genome shotgun sequence.